GGCGUGUUGUCAGAUGCACAGUAUCAUCAGCGUCCCUGUCGCUGUUUGGUUAAAGGAGAGAACUCAACUAAGGAAUCAUUGGGGCACCAACUAAACAUCCACCAUUUCAACUAGAGGUCAAAUCAUUCAGGUUCAUAGUCUGCAACUGUGAGAGCAGGCCCCCCACUUAGUGUAUUUGUCAAGCUGAGUUGGACACUCAGUAUUACAGGGUGUCAGUUUGUCAAAUACCCCAAGUGAGGGGUCACUUGUCUGCUGAGCAUCUCCCAUCAGACUAACUUCAAAGAAGAACACUUCAUUAACCUCCAAGUGACUUUCACUGUUAAGACUUUCUCAGAGGCAAGACAUUUUGAUUAUGUGAAAAUGAUUAUCUUUAUCUACUAUGCGUGAUUAUGUGCAAUUGAUCACGCACUGUCACAAAUGUCUCAUGUAUUUUGUGUAAGUUUGUAUGAUGAAACUUAGUACACUGUGUAACAAAUGUGUGUCUCUGUAUUAAAUACUGCAUUAAAUAAGUACUGGGUUAUAAAA